UCAGCAUAGGAAUCUGGCAAACACUGCUCAUUUCUUUCACGUGUAUGUGUGUGGGUGAGCAGUACCCUGAGUGUGUUGUAAGGCCCUUGUAAAUAGGUACUGUGUGUCUGCUCCUCCUCCUCCUUCCUGCCCCCUUAAUUCCUGGAAGUAAGGGAGCACACCCAAGGCCUCUGUGGGUGAGGACAUACCAGGUGGCCGGUCCGUGUCACUGACAAACCGUCUGAGAUCUCUGCCAACCUUUGCCUCCUGACCAAUAGGUCUCCAACACUUCAGUGUGCUUGCACUUUUAAAGAAGAUCCCACCUCCACCCCUUUGCUGAGAAAGUUGCUGCCUUAAAGGGUCACGGUGGCCAUAAGCCACCAAAGGGCCAAGACGAAUAAAAAGACUCAUCCAUGCGACAGCCUUCUGAACACCUGAAGACAUCUCAGCCACCCCUGUAAGCCUCUUCUUCAUGUUGCACAGUUGCGGAUGCUUCACUCAAUCCACAAGGGCCCUUAUCUCAAUUUUGGUCACCCAUAACUGGCUGUCCUCCCAGCUUAUCAAUAUCCUCUAAAAUGAGCCACUCAGACCUGGACCCAGUACUCCAGUUGUGGUCUGACCACUGACUCCUCCAUCUGUCUCUGGUUCUCUUCCUCCUUGAAACUCACAGAAAUCCUUGUUCAUAUCCCUCAA